UGACGCUGGCGGCAGGCCUAACACAUGCAAGUCGAGCGGCAGCACAAGUGAGUUUACUUAUGAGGUGGCGAGCGGCGGACGGGUGAGUAAUGCCUAGGGAUCUGCCCAGUCGAGGGGGAUAACAGUUGGAAACGACUGCUAAUACCGCAUACGCCCUACGGGGGAAAGGAGGGGACCUUUUGGCCUUCCGCGAUUGGAUGAACCUAGGUGGGAUUAGCUAGUUGGUGAGGUAAUGGCUCACCAAGGCGACGAUCCCUAGCUGUUCUGAGAGGAUGAUCAGCCACACUGGGACUGAGACACGGCCCAGACUCCUACGGGAGGCAGCAGUGGGGAAUAUUGCACAAUGGGGGAAACCCUGAUGCAGCCAUGCCGCGUGUGUGAAGAAGGCCUUCGGGUUGUAAAGCACUUUCAGUAGGGAGGAAAGGUUGUAAGUUAAUACCUUGCAGCUGUGACGUUACCUACAGAAGAAGGACCGGCUAACUCCGUGCCAGCAGCCGCGGUAAUACGGAGGGUCCAAGCGUUAAUCGGAAUUACUGGGCGUAAAGCGUGCGCAGGCGGUUUGUUAAGCGAGAUGUGAAAGCCCCGGGCUCAACCUGGGAAUUGCAUUUCGAACUGGCAAACUAGAGUCUUGUAGAGGGGGGUAGAAUUCCAGGUGUAGCGGUGAAAUGCGUAGAGAUCUGGAGGAAUACCGGUGGCGAACGCGGCCCCCUGGACAAAGACUGACGCUCAGGCACGAAGCGUGGGGAGCA
rnacentral:rRNA from 1 species